rnacentral:rRNA from 1 species
AGCAGCCGCGGUAAUUCCAGCUCCAAUAGCGUAUAUUAAAGUUGUUGCAGUUAAAAAGCUCGUAGUUGAAUUUCGGGAUCAAUAUACCGAUCGUGCCUCAGGUAUGAACUGGUCUUAUUGGUUUCUCCCUUCUGACGAACCAUGAUGUCAUUAAUUUGAUGUCGUGGAGAAUCAGGACUGUUACUUUGAAAAAAUUAGAGUGUUUAAAGCAGGCUAACGCUUGAAUACAUUAGCAUGGAAUAAUGAAAUAGGACGUUCGAUCCUAUUUUUGUUGGUUUCUAGGAUCGACGUAAUGAUUAAUAGGGAUAGUUGGGGGCAUUAGUAUUCAAUUGUCAGAGGUGAAAUUCUUGGAUUUAUUGAAGACUAACUACUGCGAAAGCAUCUGCCAAGGAUGUUUUC